ensembl:lncRNA
GCACCAAUUCCAAAAACUAAUGAGUUGUCAUAAUUUAAUGUUCUGUUGCCACCAUAAGAACUGACCAGUUGGUUGUCAGAGGGCUGAUUUUGCCUCUCAGGGAACAUUUGGGAACAUCUGGAGGCAUUUCUGGCUGUCAUGACUGUGGCAGGUGGAGAGCGCUGCUACAGACACCUAGGGACUCUAUGAUUCACCGAACAGUCGCCUCGACAGAGUACUAUCUUGUCAACAUCGAAGUAGUGUCAACGUUGAGAAACUGUGGACUGGACAGAUAAGCCCCUGAUGCUCUACCAACAGACACAAGGAUGGAACAAAAGAGACCGUGAAUCCUGGCAGUCUAUAACUCUCCUGUCUCCUUCACUCAGAACAAUUCUAUAUGGGUAAAGAGUUAAACAGUAAAAAUAUAAAAUGAAAACACUGAAAGUAAACAUGAGAAAGUAUUUCUGUAUACUUAAGCAGUGGAAGUCAUGACAUUCCAAGAAAAAUGUAGGUGAAAUUUGAAUAGAUUUGGAAGUCUAAAAUAUGUGAAUACAUCAUUGCUAAUAAUAAAAGAUAUAGAGGGGGGCCGGCCCUGUGGCUGAGUGGUUAAGUUCACGAACUCUGCUUCGGUGGCCCAGGGUUUCACUAGUUCAAAUCCUGCAUGCAGACAUGGCAGCACUCAUGUAGCCAUGCUGAGGCAGCAUCCCACAUGCCACAACUAGAAGGACCCACAACUAAAAAUAUGCAACCAUGUACUGGGGGGCUUUGGGAGAAAAAGGAAAAAUAAAAUCUUUAAAAAAAAACCUCGUAAAUGUUAUAUGCUAGGAAAUUUAAAUUUUAAAAUACAAUCUAAGAUCCCUGACCACAAUGGAAUGAAAAUAGGAAUCAAUAUCUUUGGAAAAUUUGGGGAAACAUGCAAACAGGAGGGAAUUAAAGUUAAGACACUCCUAAAUAAGCAAUGGGUCAAAGAACUCAGUAAGGAAAUUAGAAAAUAUUUUCAACAAAUGAAAAAGGACACAAUCUAACAAAUUUUAUGGGCUACAUUAAAAAUACUACAUAGAUAAAAAUGAUACCCACAAAAGCCUAAACUAACAAAGAAAGAUGCCAAAUCAAUGACCAAACCUUUUACCUAACUCAAAUUCAAAAGGAUCUUACUUCAAAAGGAUGAGAAACCAAACCAAAUGUACUGAGAAAAGGAAAGAAAAAUUCGAGAAGAAAUUAAGGAAAUAGGAAAUAGACAACCCGUAAAGAAAAUCAAUGAAAACCCAAUAUAACUGACAAUAGAAAACCAGCAGAUAAUAGCUGGAUUGACCUAGAGAAAAAUGAGAGCAGACUCAGAUCCCUAGAAGCAGAAUGAAAGAGAGGUUAUCACUACUGAGAUUACAGAAAUCAAAAGGAUUAGAAAGGAAUUAACAAUUGCAUGCAAAUUAGAUUACAUAGAUGUAAUGCACAAAUUCCUACAAAUACACAAAUUGGCAAAAUGACUAAAAAGAAAAUCUGAUUAGAAUUAUGACAAGUGGUUGAAUUAGUAAGCAAAAAACUACCCAUAAGGAAAAGCCCAGGUCCAGAGGAUGUCACAGCAGAAUCCUCCAAAACAUCCAAUCAAGGCUUAACAGGGACUCUUCACAAAGUCUCCCCCAAAACAGAAUCAACACAACACUUCCAACUCAUUUUGGGGCCAGUGUUAUCGUGAUACCAAAAUCAGACAAAAGUAUCCCAAAAAACUACAGACCUAUUUCCUUUGUGAAUAUGGGUCAAGAAAAACCUCAAGUAAUCCUAGUACCUAAUCCAGCAACAACUUAAAAGAUUU